rnacentral:lncRNA from 1 species
UUGGUAUGAUUGACAAUAAGACACCUAUUUACCAUACAUCAAAAUUUGCCUACACACUAAAUGAAUAAUAAAUACCAAGGUCAGUGAAGAUUUGGUGGCACUUAGGUCGGGGUGUUGUCUCUUUGACAUAUUCCCUAUUUCCAUUCACUAUUCUAUUGUUAUGUAAAAUAGUAAGAAAAUUGUAAAUUUAGGGGUCUAGGAGUCCCUUUUGAAAAUUCCGGAACAGUCAGAAUAAAGAGUUAAUUGUCCUUUGAUGAAAUAAUAUAUUUUCUACAAAUUUUUACACUGAUCUUAUACUUGAAUUAUGGAAUCAUUUUGGAGAUAAAUAAAACAACCAUUUCUUUUCCUAAUCCCAACACAUUCUUGUCAGUUGCCUUAAAUUUGUACUAAUAAAUAAACACAUUAUUUUCAGACUUUACAAA